AACGAACGCUGGCGGCAGGCUUAACACAUGCAAGUCGAACGCCCCGCAAGGGGAGUGGCAGACGGGUGAGUAACGCGUGGGAAUCUACCCAGUUCUACGGAACCACUGAGGGAAACUUCAGCUAAUACCGUAUACGCCCUACGGGGGAAAGAUUUAUCGGAAUUGGAUGAGCCCGCGUUAGAUUAGCUAGUUGGUGGGGUAAUGGCCUACCAAGGCGACGAUCUAUAGCUGGUCUGAGAGGAUGAUCAGCCACACUGGGACUGAGACACGGCCCAGAAGCCUACGGGAGGCAGCAGUGGGGAAUAUUGGAGAAUGGGCGCAAGCCUGAUCCAGCCAUGCCGCGUGAGUGAUGAAGGCCUUAGGGUUGUAAAGCUCUUUCAGUGGGGACGAUAAUGACGGUACCCACAGAAGAAGCCCCGGCUAACUUCGUGCCAGCCGCCGCGGUAAGAC
rnacentral:rRNA from 1 species